CCUACGGGAGGCAGCAGUGAGGAAUAUUGGUCAAUGGCCGGAAGGCUGAACCAGCCAUGCCGCGUGAAGGUCAGUGCCCUAUGGGCGUUAAACUUCUUUUGUGCGGGAGCAAUAAUGGUCACGUGUGGCCAGACGAGAGUACCGUACGAAUAAGCAUCGGCUAACUACGUGCCAGCAGCCGCGGUAAUACGGGGGAUGCAAGCGUUAUCCGGAUUUAUUGGGGUUAAAGGGUGCGUAGGCUGUGAGGUAAGUCAGCGGUGAAAUGCCCCCGCUCAACGGGGUGAAGUGCCAUUGAUACUGGCUUGCUGGAAUGCGGAUGACGUGGGAGGAAUGUGUGGUGUAGCGGUGAAAUGCAUAGAUAUCACACAGAACACCGAUUGCGAAGGCAUCUCACGAAUCCGCGAUUGACGCUGAUGCACGAAAGCGUGGGUAUCAAACAGGAUUAGAUACCCGAGUAGUC
rnacentral:rRNA from 1 species